ACGAACGCUGGCGGCGUGCUUAACACAUGCAAGUCGAACGGAAAGGCCCUGCUUUUGUGGGGUGCUCGAGUGGCGAACGGGUGAGUAACACGUGAGUAACCUGCCCUUGACUUUGGGAUAACUUCAGGAAACUGGAGCUAAUACCGGAUAGGAGCUCCUGCUGCAUGGUGGGGGUUGGAAAGUUUCGGCGGUUGGGGAUGGACUCGCGGCUUAUCAGCUUGUUGGUGGGGUAGUGGCUUACCAAGGCUUUGACGGGUAGCCGGCCUGAGAGGGUGACCGGCCACAUUGGGACUGAGAUACGGCCCAGACUCCUACGGGAGGCAGCAGUGGGGAAUAUUGCACAAUGGGCGGAAGCCUGAUGCAGCAACGCCGCGUGCGGGAUGACGGCCUUCGGGUUGUAAACCGCUUUCGCCUGUGACGAAGCGUGAGUGACGGUAAUGGGUAAAGAAGCACCGGCUAACUACGUG
rnacentral:rRNA from 1 species